rnacentral:rRNA from 1 species
CAUGCAAGUCGAACGGCAGCACGGACUUCGGUCUGGUGGCGAGUGGCGAACGGGUGAGUAAUGUAUCGGAACGUACCUUUCAGUGGGGGAUAACGUAGCGAAAGUUACGCUAAUACCGCAUAUUCUGUGAGCAGGAAAGCAGGGGAUCGCAAGACCUUGCGCUGAUUGAGCGGCCGAUAUCAGAUUAGCUAGUUGGUGGGGUAAAGGCCUACCAAGGCUACGAUCUGUANCGGGUCUGAGAGGAUGAUCCGCCACACUGGAACUGAGACACGGUCCNNACUCCUACGGGAGGCAGCAGUGGGGAAUUUUGGACAAUGGGGGCAACCCUGAUCCAGCCAUGCCGCGUGAGUGAAGAAGGCCUUCGGGUUGUAAAGCUCUUUCGGC